rnacentral:tRNA from 1 species
GAGGCCUUAGCUUAAUGAAAGUAUCUGUUUUGCAUGCAGAAGAUGUGGGGUAGUAACCCGUAGGCCUUA